rnacentral:lncRNA from 1 species
UUAAUAAAAAAAAUUCGAACAAGCAUAAUAAAAUUACAAACAUCUAAAUAAAAUAUUGAAAUUUUCCUUAUUGACAUAAAUAUUUGAAAUAAACGUAAAAAGAGAGGAUUUUUUUUAAAAAUUCUACAUAAUUUGAUACUUAAACAAUUUAUUGUUGUAAAAUAAUUAAAAAGAAAACAAAUAUAGACAGACCAAAAAUAAAUAAAGAGAAAAAAACCC